CUCACUUUCUUUAUUUUUCUUGCUUUUUUGAAACAUGGCUAAUAUGGAAAUAUAUUUUGCACGAUUUCACAUGUACAAUUGACAUCCCAUUGCUUGCCUUCUCAGUGGAUGGGGGAAAGGGUGGGAGGGAGAGACAGAAUUUGUAAACUCAAAAUUUGAAAAGAAUGCAAAAAAUAAAAUAAUUAUUUUUUUUCUUUAAAGAGGACUAGGUGCUGAUUGGAUUGCUGCAAACAUGAUCAUCAUCCCAGAGUCCCUUCCGGGAGAUCCAGGGAUGGGAGCUGAGAGCAGUGACAGCCUCUCUCUACCAGAGGCAGCCCAGCUUGUCACCUUUCUUUCAGAACUAUGGGCCCAGAAGUGACUGCUGGCCUUCCAAGCAUUCAGUGCCUCCAAUCUGAUAGGUGUUUACUGUUGAAUUCGUGCAUACUGGCUCUAAGAAUGCCAUCGAAAGGAAGUGAUAAUAAAUGAUUUCUAAGAUGUUCCAAUCCAACUUAGUGAGCACUUAUUAAGCACCUACUGUGUACUGAGUACCAUGCUGGGUGCUGGGCACACAAAGACAUCCCUGAGGGGAAAGACUUUCAUUUCUGUCUCUGUAUACUCAUCCCUUGGCACGAUGCCUAACGUAGAGUGAACACACACUCUAGAAAUGCCUUGGAAUUGAAUUGGCCCUGCCAAGCACAGCUGGGGCUUGGGCAGUGUGUCCAAGGUCCCUCCAAGCCCAAACUGGGGCUUGUGCUUCUCUGAUCCCACAACCUGAUCUGUCUGUUCGCCAGGCUGGAUAGCUGCCAGGCCUCUGAAGACCCUGGUGGAUGGGCAUUUCAGGGACAACAUCUGGCCCGUGGGGGACGUGGUAGGUUUAUUGUGUCUAAUGACUCAGUCCCUGUUUUAGCUCAGCUCAUGAGCUCCUGGUAAACCAGCUCCUUAGGCUGGAGUGAGUCACAGGGCCCAACCCAGUGAAGCUGCUUUGCCAGCUCUCUCCCAACCAACAAGAUUCAGGAAGUUACCCAGCCCACGUGUUCAGUGCCCCGCAGAGGCAAAACCUGAAGAAGAAGCUUUGGCUUCCUGCUUGGACUGACCGGCUUCCCAACAUUCAGGGCCAUCCUGGAGUGGCCCCUCCUGCCCCAAGAGAGCAGGCCAGCCAGGGGGCAGCUAACUGGGGACUCCGGACCGGGGCGCAGCCCAUCCCCAACCACCCUGUUGGCCUGUCUGCUGCCCAGGGGCUCUAUUCUGAAGCAGGCUGGCCAGGGCUGGGCAGAAGCGGCCAGAUGCCUCCAGCCAGGGGAUUAGACUCCAAGCAGGUCACAUUUCCUCCAAGGAGCUGCUAACAGAGCCAGCUCCAGAAUUACCAGAGGUGGCCAGGUGGGGAAUGCAGGGGCGAUUGUCUCCGGUAAGCUGAGGAGGCUGGAGCAGGGGAUCCAGGAGGCCCCUCCCAGUGUGGAGGGACUGAACAGGGAAGGGGAAGAGCAGAAGGCACAGGGUCCACCCGUCUCUGACAUUUAAUGCCCGUGGGAGCUUGGAAGAGACAUUUCUUCCUCUGUGCCUCAGUUUCCUCACCUGUAAAAUGCGGGCAUUGGACUGGAUGUCCUCCAAGGUCCCCACCAGUUCUGACAUCAUCUGAUUACAGAUGAGCUGUGGACAUUCUCUCUCCGCGUCCUUUCACCUCUUCCCCUUUCUAGCACCCACAAUACCAAGCCCUCUGCCAUCUACUCUCCAGAAGUGAACUGAUAAAUGUCCGUCCCAGGACACAGAGUCACAUCCUCUUUUCAGCCCAAAGGAAUUCCCCCAAAUUCAGUCUCGGGCUGCCAGGGGACCAGGCUGCCCAGAACUCCCAGGGAGACCGCCAUCCUGCCAUUCCCUGCCCCGGGCUGACCCCCUUGUUCUCAGUUCUGGGCAGCCCAGUGUAAGAAGGAUGUUGACUGGACGUGAGGGGGACCGAAUGGGGGAGGGCUUGAGAGUUCACUGCCUGUGAAGAUCAACCAAGGGGACCGGGGAUGUGACCCGGAACCGUCCAUAGAAGAGGCAUUAACCGGGUUCCACUCGGACCCUGGAGGCAGAGCCUGGAGAAGGGGCAGAGAAGCGAAUUUCUGCUUGUUGCAAAGGUAAUCUUUCCCCUGCGGGGAGCAGACCCAAAAUGAAGCCGGCUGCCUCAGGAGGUAGUGAGCUCCCUCUUCCUGAAGGUAUUCAAGCACAGGAUGGGUGACUCUCCAUUGGGGGUGCUGUGGAGAGGAUGCUUGUUCAGGUAAGUGCUGGACCAGAGACCUGGGAGGGCCCUCCCCACACUGAGGCUUUGUGAUGGAAUGGUGGGAUUUCAGGCACGGUGUCUGA
rnacentral:lncRNA from 1 species